UCCUGGUGGCGAGUGGCGAACGGGUGAGUAAUGUAUCGGAACGUGCCCAGUCGUGGGGGAUAACGCAGCGAAAGCUGUGCUAAUACCGCAUACGAUCUAUGGAUGAAAGCGGGGGAUCGCAAGACCUCGCGCGAUUGGAGCGGCCGAUAUCAGAUUAGGUAGUUGGUGGGGUAAAGGCCCACCAAGCCGACGAUCUGUAGCUGGUCUGAGAGGACGACCAGCCACACUGGAACUGAGACACGGUCCAGACUCCUACGGGAGGCAGCAGUGGGGAAUUUUGGACAAUGGGCGCAAGCCUGAUCCAGCAAUGCCGCGUGCAGGAUGAAGGCCUUCGGGUUGUAAACUGCUUUUGUACGGAGCGAAAAGGCUCUCUCUAAUAAAGGGGGCUCAUGACGGUACCGUAAGAAUAAGCACCGGCUAACUACGUGCCAGCAGCCGCGGUAAUACGUAGGGUGCGAGCGUUAAUCGGAAUUACUGGGCGUAAAGCGUGCGCAGGCGGUUAUGUAAGACAGAUGUGAAAUCCCCGGGCUCAACCUGGGACCUGCAUUUGUGACUGCAUAGCUAGAGUACGGCAGAGGGGGAUGGAAUUCCGCGUGUA
rnacentral:rRNA from 1 species